UACGGAAGGCAGCAGUGGGGAAUAUUGCACAAUGGGCGCAAGCCUGAUGCAGCCAUGCCGCGUGUAUGAAGAAGGCCUUCGGGUUGUAAAGUACUUUCAGUCGUGAGGAAGGUGUUAAGGUUAAUAACCUUAGCAAUUGACGUUAGCGACAGAAGAAGCACCGGCUAACUCCGUGCCAGCAGCCGCGGUAAUACGGAGGGUGCGAGCGUUAAUCGGAAUUACUGGGCGUAAAGGGCACGCAGGCGGUUAAUUAAGUUGGAUGUGAAAUCCCCGGGCUUAACCUGGGAAUGGCAUUCAAGACUGGUUAGCUAGAGUCUUGUAGAGGGGGUAGAAUUCCAUGUGUAGCGGUGAAAUGCGUAGAGAUGUGGAGGAAUACCGGUGGCGAAAGGCGGCCCCUGGACAAAGACUGACGCUCAUGUGCGAAAGCGUGGGGAGCAAAACAGGAUUAGAUAC
rnacentral:rRNA from 1 species